rnacentral:rRNA from 1 species
UACGAAGGGGGCUAGCGUUGCUCGGAAUCACUGGGCGUAAAGGGUGCGUAGGCGGGUCUUUAAGUCAGGGGUGAAAUCCUGGAGCUCAACUCCAGAACUGCCUUUGAUACUGAAGAUCUUGAGUUCGGGAGAGGUGAGUGGAACUGCGAGUGUAGAGGUGAAAUUCGUAGAUAUUCGCAAGAACACCAGUGGCGAAGGCGGCUUACUGGACCGGUUCUGACGCUGAGGCGCGAAAGCGUGGGGAGCAAACAGGG